ACAUUUUCCUUUACUUUCGAAGGUCACGGAGAUCAUUACGUAAAAUGUGUCAUGUGGUGUAGAGGUUGGGUGAGAAUGGGACGUGUCGCAUCAUUAUCAAACAGAUACAAAAGCCCCAAGGCUUAAGAGGUGAAGGGAUGAAAAAAAAUCGUAUAAAAGUAGCGAAAAAAGGCGGUGGAAAAUCAGUCGAGUGAGGAUCGCCGACACGGCAACAACUGCAGCGUACUAUUUGUCGAUAACUGGACUGUUCAUCGUUUAACCACUUCGUAAUUAUGGUUAACUAUAACGUCGUGUUGCUGUUGGGCGUUGUAUGGCUGGGUCGAUCACUGGUGUACCGAUUUCUCCUGGGUAUAGCGGAUACCAAACC